CUCUGCAUUUUAGAACAAGGUCAUCCACAGUGUGGCACCCCCGUGUUCCCUGCAGCAUUACGUGCAAUAGCCAGGUAACUGUGGAGCUGCGCAUGCAGGGCUGGACUCAACUCGCCACCGCUGGCUGCAGGGACCCUACAACACUGUCGCCUGUGCUCUAGGGCCAUUUAGGGCUGCCCAGGGAGCUCAGCGGUAAGGAAUCCGCCUGCCAGUGCUGGAGACAGAAGAGACACGGGUCGAGCCCCGGACCGGA
rnacentral:lncRNA from 1 species